CGACUGGGAAGGUCUGCAGAGCCCAACGCAGGUGGCGCAGCACCCCUGCUGCCGGCCUCAGCAGCCCGUGCGACCAUUGGGGAGAUUGGCGAUCCGGGUGCCACCAGAGAAGCAUCGCCCUGUCUCUGAU
rnacentral:ribozyme from 9 species